GUGAUGGACUGCCUUUUGCAUAAUGAGCCUGCGAGUUGUGGUGUCUGGCAAGGUUAAGCAAACGCGAAGCCGUAGCGAAAGCGAGUCUGAAUAGGGCGCUUAGUCAGAUGCUGCAGACCCGAAACGAAGUGAUCUAUCCAUGAGCAAGUUGAAGCUAGUGUAAGAACUAGUGGAGGACUGAACCCAUAGGCGUUGAAAAGCCCCGGGAUGACUUGUGGAUAGGGGUGAAAGGCCAAUCAAACUUCGUGAUAGCUGGUUCUCUCCGAAAUAUAUUUAGGUAUAGCGUUGUGUCGUAAUAUAAGGGGGUAGAGCACUGAAUGGGCUAGGGCAUACACCAAUGUACCAAACCCUAUCAAA
rnacentral:rRNA from 1 species